rnacentral:lncRNA from 1 species
UUGUGAAUUAUUAUUUCUAUGGUAUGAAGUUAUCGUAGAAUUAGACUUUUCAAUUACUGAAUUACGGUUUAAUUCUAUUAUAUUUUAUAUAUAAGACUAUUUCAGAUUUUAGAAGUAUCACAUUUCUUUUCCUAUAAGUCCCCAACAUUCUCGUUAGGUUCAAAUGCACUUAUAAGUAUUAGGCGCCUAGCCAAUCUUGUGGGGAACCACGCUUUUUCCACAAUGGUCGUUAGUCAAGGAGUCGCGCUCUACCGGCUAUGCAAUCUUAAUUCAGCGAAGACUCAUCUCAUAUUUUUAGCUAGUGAUUGGAUCUGAUAUCGAUCGUGAUGUCCAGCUUUUUGGGAGUGGGUCACUAAUUCUAUAUCUAUUAUGUAUAGUCCUGACUAGCACAUUUUAUCCUUUUAAUCUUUUGAAUUUAAUCAUCGUUCAAAAUACUAUAGCCGGAUUGAGAGGUUUAAUUCUAUUAUAAUUUAUAUAUGAAACUAUUUCAGAUCCUAAAAGUGUCACAGUUCUCU